UCUUUAGGUUUAUGUGGGCCCCAUGAUUAAAAGCACUUCGCAAGCUUUCAACGGAGAUCCUUCAUUCUGAACUUCAAGGGCUCCUGUGGCAGAAGUGGACAUGGAAUGUACUGUUCUGUUUCAGAGGUAAGAGUUGAAAAUGACUAUACAUGAACCUAUUACAGAAUAUGUGAUGAUCUCAGCCCAUCUUGAACUCUCUCACUGAUUAUUUGAUGACAAUAAAAGAUCUGAUAUUCUGUGCUUUUAAAGUUACAUUUAAAUUAAGAUUGUGUAAUGUUGCUAACAGCAGGCACCUCUUUUGCAGGUGGCUGGCUGGAGGCUCAUGGAUCAUACAUCGCCCUGUAUUGCUGUUACGAG